GAGGGACGUUAUGAAUCUAGCAAACGAUUACAGGGUGUCAGAACUGCAGGAGUCCAGUGGCUGGCAGUGGCUUCUACUUUCAUCCCACAGACAUCUGCGGGUGAGGGCACGAGAUGAAAAGCCAUGCAACUUCUCUGUAAUUUAUAUUGCCACAACAUUCCAUCGUGGCCACACUGUUCAGCCCCAGAGAGCUCACACGGACUUUUGUUUGUUCAGAAGAGUUUCCAAAAGACUUAAGUCUGUGCUCUUCUUACUGUGAAAGAGGGUCUUCUGCUUUUUGUGAAAUUCAACAUUGAGGAAUGCUCUCUUCGUAUGUAAAAUGGGCCAGCAUCUACCUUCUAGGUCUGUUGUGAGAAGAGUUUUAAAUACUCUGAUGAAAUGCUUUCUGGAUAGAAGAAACUCCAUAAAGAAGGCAAAACCUGGACAAUGUCCUUUCGAGUCAUCUAGUUCCAUCUCCCCAUUUUUAUGGCUGAAGGAACUGAGAGUCAGUCAAAUUUCACAGCCUUUCAAUUAAUUUUCAGGAACAAUUAAUGAAACAGAUUGUAAUCUUUAGAAGCAGAAGUUGAGCAGAGUUUGUUGUGAAAGAUAUUCAUCAGGUAUCAACACCUGAAGAAGGGAGAUGCCGGCAGGAGGAUUGGGCAAAGAGAGAAGUCAAACUUUGAGGCAAGCCCAGCAAAGCUUUGGCCAAGUGCAUGGAGAGCUGUGAAGUACAUGUGGUCUGUCAGACUUGUCCCCAAGUGAGGCGAAAUGGUUGGCUUUUGGCACCCCCCAGAGAUUCCCAUAUCUGAAGAAGUCAUUUUCAAACUUGGAGGAACAACUUCUUUCACUAAAGAAAAAAAUCUAGAGAACAGACCCUACAAAAAGGCACACGUGCACACAGGCAUGGGUACACAUUAAUGUCUUAUAUCCACUAUAAAAAAUAAGUCAAAUUAGAAAUAAUCCAGAAGAGAAAAAUAAAUGUAAUUAGGAGUUCUAUGAUGUCUUACAUGUUCCUUUUUAUGCAUUCUACUUUGGUGCUGAAACAAGGGGAAAAAUAUUGCUGUAAUAAUUUGUAAUUACAAGCCAAGACUCAUGCAGGUCUCUAGUCACAUUCUUAAAAUUUGAGUUAUCUAAAAAUUAUUCAAAGGGAUCUCAAACUGUGAGUGCAGCCCAGGUUACUAGAAGAGUCAAAUGUAUAUCUCUCUGGAAGAACCUCCUUAAUCUCAGUCUUCAAAGAACUCUCGUAGAUAAUGUUCCAAGGAAAAGGAGCAGCUCACAUUCAAGAAGUGCUAAGUAAGGAAACACGGCAUCAUGAAGAGAUCCUGAAGAAAUAACAGAGACAACUGACACAGUUCUGCAAAAUUUUGGAUAAUAGAAUAGACACACAUUAUGAAUUAACUAUAUUUAACAUUUUAAAGAAAUAAAAUAAGACCUUUAAAAUACAAAAAUGGAAAAAUCGCAUUCUAGUAACAAGUGGAACUUCUACAAAUGGCAAGCAUAAGUUUUGAAAUUAAAAACAAUGGAAGUAUUAGCAGGUUAGACCAAGUUGAAGAGAAAAUUAAUGAACUGGAAUGAAUAUAUAAAAAAAUUGUCUAAGAUACAGCAAUUCUACACUUAAACAUGGAUUUAUAGAUGUGACACGUAAAAUAAGUGAUAGGAUAUUUGAAAAAUAAAUUAAAAUACAAGGCAGAUGUUGUAAGAUAUUUGAUCUAGAAUGAAUUAGAGUUUCAGAUGGCUAUGAGAGAAAGGGACAUAUAAAACACUCAGAUUCACAUAGUCAUGAAUCUUAACAAACACCAAACAGGAUGAAGAAAAAGAAAUUCCCCUAGACACUUCAAAAAUUGCAUAACACCACAGGCACAGAGGAGAAGAUUAUAAAAAGCAUCCAGGUACUUACGAAGGAAUAGUCAUUAUACUGAUGCUCGACAUCCCAUAGGCAACAUGUAAAGCUGGAAGACAGCUUUAAUAAUUGAAGAGAGAAGAAAUGUCUACUUUGAAUAUUAUUUUCCCCCAAAUCUUUCAAAAGCAAAGGCAAAGUUAGGACAUUUUCAGGAAAAGAAAACUAAGAGUUUGUAAUCAGCAGAUUGACACCAAAGAAAAUUCUGAAGUAUGUACCUUAAACCAGGGGAAAAUAAUCCUAGAUGAAAAGUCUACAAAGUGGGAAUAAAUGAAGAGAAAGAAAGAAUUAAAUAUAUGGGUAUACGUUAACAAACUUUGACAGUUUAAAGCAAUAAUAAUAAAAUAUGCAUAAUGAUUUACAUAUAUAUGUGCAGAUUAAAACCAGAAGGUAAGAUAAAAUAUGUGACAACAAUAGCAUAUAAUGUGAGUUGCAUAAGUGGAGUUAAAUUAUUCUAAGUUCUUGCUAUUGCUUGAGAGUAAGGUAAGGGAAUUGAUCUACUGUAAACAUUGAUAAAUUUAAGUGUUAGAGUUUCUCAGGUAACCAUUAAGGGUAGAGCAUGUAUUUUAUUGAUGGUGGACAGAAAAAGUGGAAUAAGAAAAAAGUACUCUGAAAUACAAAGGAAGUCAAAAGGAAAGUAUAAUUUAUAUAGAAAAGAUCAUAAAAGUCGCAAACAAUAAUAUGGUAUAAAUAAAUAGACACACACACAUAUAUGCAUAUGUAUGUGUGUAAAUAUGUAUUAUAA